rnacentral:lncRNA from 1 species
GAGACGGCGAGGAGCAGGCGAAAACAGCUGGAAUCCGGUGCACCGCCGACUGCCAGCGCCCGCGCCCUUUAAAGAGCCGCCGAACCGCGCGCUCCGAGGGGGCGUGGCCUCGCCUCCCAUUGGACGCCGCUGACCCCGCUCGCCGUCCAGCGCGGGAGAUUUGAGUUGCGCCGCAGGCCUUCCGCACAAAGACCUUUAAGGAGCCUGCGCCGGCCGGGUGCGCGGGCGCUCGCGGGGCCGGAACCGGUUAGGAUUGCGAGAGCCUUGGGGAUUGAGCGCGCAAGGGGUCGCCGGGCGGGCGUUGCCGCUGAGGGUAUCUUGGUUCCCAUUGACUUUCUGAGUCAGCUCCUUUGGUUUCCUCACCAAGACCAGUCUCCGAGUUUCAUGCAGUCCGCUGGCUAGAUUUGUGUCAACUUCACACAAGCUAGAGUCAUCUGAGAGGAGGGACCCCCAGAUGAGAAAACGCCUGCAGAAGACUGGGCUGUAAGCAAAUGUAUAGAGCAUUUCCUUAGUGAUUGAUUGGUGGGUGAGGGCCCAGCCCAUUGGGUGGUGGCAUAUUUGAUCUGGUGGUCCUGGAUCCUAUAAGAAAGCAGACUGAGCAGGCCAUGGGAAGCAACCCAGUAAGCAGCGCCCCUCCAUGGCCUCUGCAUCAGCCUCUGCCUCCAGGAUCCUGCCCUGCUUGAGUUCCUGGUCCUGACUUCCCUCAAUGAUGGAUUAUGGAUGAGGAAGUGUAAGGCCAACAAACGGUUCCCUCCCCAACUUGCUUUUGGUCACGGUGCUUCAUCCUAGCAAUAGGAACCGCAACUGGGACAGGCAGUAUUAUUCAUCUAACUCAGUGCUGGUUCUAGUAACCAAGAGCCCUUUUAUCCACUGGCAUCAGUGCCCUUUGCCCUCCAGAAUAUUCCCCAAACACCUAUCUGAUGGCAUCCAACCCCCAGCUACGGGCCUGCCAUUCUCUCUAUGCCAGGAGGUCUCUGGGUCCUACUGGCCUCUGCAUCCUUGGGGCCCAGCCUGGAUGCUAGGCACUGGUGACUGAGAGAGUUAAUCAUGUAAUCUGAGCAAGCACUCUGCCUCCACUGUUCUCCACAUCCACUAGGUACUCAGCAGGUCCCGCUGACCUCAUUCGUCAGUGUUGCUGUCUCUUUCCUCUGGUCAAAGAAACAAAAUAGAACGUCAUUGUGAAGGUGCCUCAUAUUGGCCUGUCAGCCUCCAAGCAAAGAGGAGACACGUGCUCCAGGUCCCAAGCCUUAGGCUACACUCAGCUCAGAGGAAGCAGAGCCACUUAGGACCAGAUGCGAGUACUUCCCUUCAGCCCCUUGAGUAUCUCCAGCUGUACCCAC